rnacentral:rRNA from 1 species
CCUACGGGACGCAGCAGUAGGGAAUUUUCGUCAAUGGGGGAAACCCUGAACGAGCAAUGCCGAGUGAGUGAAGAAGGUCUUCGGAUCGUAAAGCCCUGUUGUAAGUGAAGAACGGCGCAUAGAGGAAAUGCUCUGGGAGUGACGGUAGCUUACCAGAAAGCAACGGCUAAAUACGUGCCAGCAGCCGCGGGAAUACGUAGGUGGCAAGCGUUCUCCGGAAUCAUUGGGCGUAAAGGGUGCGUAGGUGGCGUACUAAGUCUGUAGUAAAAGGCAAUGGCUCAACCAUUGUAAGCUAUGGAAACUGGUAUGCUGGAGUGCACAAGAGGUCGAUGGAAUUCCAUGUGUAGCGGUAAAAUGCGUAGAUAUAUGGAGGAACACCAGUGGCGAAGGCGGUCGCCUGGUCUGCAACUGACACUGAGGCACGAAAGCGUGGGGAGCAAAUAGGAUUAGAUACCCCUGUAGUC